rnacentral:misc_RNA from 1 species
UCAAACUUGGUCAUUUAGAGGAAGUAAAAGUCGUAACAAGGUUUCCGUAGGUGAACCUGCGGAAGGAUCAUUAGUGAAUUCAUGAAAACCUGCCGAAGUAGGCCCUCCAUGGCCCAAAAGGCGGGAUCCCUUUUCAUCACUUGUCCUCACACCUGUGAACUGAAAGUAGGCUCGCAAGAGCCUGCCUUUUUUCCUACCAAACUACCGAGUCAAUGAUGUCUAUUUAUUAUCAUAAUUAAUAAAACUUUCAACAACGGAUCUCUUGGCUCCCACAUCGAUGAAGAACGCAGC